UGGGGAAUCUUGCGCAAUGGGCGAAAGCCUGACGCAGCAACGCCGCGUGCGGGAAGAAGGCUUUCGGGCUGUAAACCGCUUUCAGCAGGAACGAAAAUGACGGUACCUGCAGAAGAAGGAGCGGCCAACUAUGUGCCAGCAGCCGCGGUGAUACAUAGGCUUCAAGCGUUGUCCGGAUUUAUUGGGCGUAAAGAGUUCGUAGGCGGUCGAGUAAGUCGGGUGUGAAAAUUCUGGGCUCAACCCAGAAACGCCACCCGAUACUGCUUAACUUGAGUUCGAUAGGGGAGUGGGGAAUUCCUAGUGUAGCGGUGAAAUGCGCAGAUAUUAGGAGGAACACCGGUGGCGAAGGCGCCACUCUGGAUCGAUACUGACGCUGAGGAACGAAAGCAUGGGUAGCAAGCAGGAUUAGAUACCCUGGUAGUCCAUGCCGUAAACGGUGGGCACUAGGUGUGGGAUUCUAUUAACGAAUUCCGCGCCGUCGCUAACGCAUUAAGUGCCCCGCCUGGGGAGUACGGUCGCAAGACUA
rnacentral:rRNA from 1 species